rnacentral:rRNA from 1 species
AACGAACGCUGGCGGCAGGCUUAACACAUGCAAGUCGAACGCGCCCUUCGGGGCGAGUGGCAGACGGGUGAGUAACGCGUGGGAACCUACCUUUUGGUACGGAAUAACUCAGGGAAACUUGAGCUAAUACCGUAUGUGCCCUUCGGGGGAAAGAUUUAUCGCCAAAGGAUGGGCCCGCGUCGGAUUAGCUAGUUGGUGGGGUAAUGGCCUACCAAGGCGACGAUCCGUAGCUGGUCUGAGAGGAUGAUCAGCCACACUGGGACUGAGACACGGCCCAGACUCCUACGGGAGGCAGCAGUGGGGAAUAUUGGACAAUGGGGGCAACCCUGAUCCAGCCAUGCCGCGUGAGUGAUGAAGGCCUUAGGGUUGUAAAGCUCUUUCGCCGGUGAAGAUAAUGACGGUAACCGGAGAAGAAGCCCCGGCUAACUACGUGCCAGCCGCCGCGGUAAUAC